rnacentral:rRNA from 1 species
AGUGAACGCUGGCGGUAGGCCUAACACAUGCAAGUCGAACGGCAGCACAGUAAGAGCUUGCUCUUACGGGUGGCGAGUGGCGGACGGGUGAGGAAUACAUCGGAAUCUACUUUUUCGUGGGGGAUAACGUAGGGAAACUUACGCUAAUACCGCAUACGACCUACGGGUGAAAGCAGGGGAUCUUCGGACCUUGCGCGAUUGAAUGAGCCGAUGUCGGAUUAGCUAGUUGGCGGGGUAAAGGCCCACCAAGGCGACGAUCCGUAGCUGGUCUGAGAAGACGAUCAGCCACACUGGAACUGAGACACGGUCCAGACUCCUACGGGAGGCAGCAGUGGGGAAUAUUGGACAAUGGGCGCAAGCCUGAUCCAGCCAUACCGCGUGGGUGAAGAAGGCCUUCGGGUUGUAAAGCCCUUUUGUUGGGAAAGAAAAGCAGCAGGUUAAUACCCCGCUGUUCUGGCGGUACCCAAAGAAUAAGCACCGGCUAACUUCGUG